rnacentral:rRNA from 1 species
CACAUGCAAGUCGAGCGGAUGAGUGGAGCUUGCUCCAUGAUUCAGCGGCGGACGGGUGAGUAAUGCCUAGGAAUCUGCCUGGUAGUGGGGGAUAACGUUUCGAAAGGAACGCUAAUACCGCAUACGUCCUACGGGAGAAAGUGGGGGAUCUUCGGACCUCACGCUAUCAGAUGAGCCUAGGUCGGAUUAGCUAGUUGGUGGGGUAAUGGCCCACCAAGGCGACGAUCCGUAACUGGUCUGAGAGGAUGAUCAGUCACACUGGAACUGAGACACGGUCCAGACUCCUACGGGAGGCAGCAGUGGGGAAUAUUGGACAAUGGGCGAAAGCCUGAUCCAGCCAUGCCGCGUGUGUGAAGAAGGUCUUCGGAUUGUAAAGCACUUUAAGUUGGGAGGAAGGGCAGUAAGUUAAUACCUUGGUGUUUUGACGUUACCAACAGAAUAAGCACCGGCUAACUUCGUGGCAGCAUCCGCGGUAAUACGAAGGGUGCAAGCGUUAAUCGGAAUUACUGGGCGUAAAGCGCGCGUAGGUGGUUCAGCAAGUUGGAUGUGAAAGCCCCGGGCUCAACCUGGGAAUUGCGUCCAAAACUACUGAGCUAGAGUACGGUAGAGAGGGGUGGAAUUUCCUGUGUAGCGGUGAAAUGCGUAGAUAUAGGAAGGAACACCAGUGGCGAAAGGGACCACCUGCACUGAUACUGACACUGAUGUGCGACAGCGU